UCUCUCUGCUCUUUGUCCGCAGUAGAAUGAGCGCCCGCGUCGGCCCCUGUCAGAUGUUCCAUGGGUUCCGCUGGGUGAAGGCGCUCGCUGCAAGCCAUUCGCACUCCAGCUGUGACACGCCUGAACCGCGUCGCGUGGGAGUGAUCGGUGAGGGGGGGGGGGGUUCUGGACAUCGUUUCCUCUGAAAGUCCAUCCGUGCUUCCUAAGAUGUCUCGGGAGAGGCCCCAUUAUGGCUUUAAAGGGUGUGAAGGGGGCGCAAAUGGAUUCUGAGGGCAACAUGGCAACUCGCCCCGUUAUACACUUGUAGAUAACCUCGCCGUGCUGGGGGACGUCGGAGAAGCUGAUUGGACGGCUGGGUAAUUGAGUUCACGUAAAGGACUCGUUGUUGGGUCAUGGCGGCUGCUGGCUGUGCUACAUCCUUCCGUCCGUCCGUCCAUGGGGAGCGGCCAAUGGCAGAGGAAACACGACCAAGAACUGGUGAGACGUGGACACGCCCAUCUGUGGAGGCCCCACGUUCCAUCGGCUCACCAUCCAACCCGCGCUGACCACCACGACCGUUCCGCACGGACCACCGGCUGCAAAUUGUCCUUCGUAAUGGCAGCUUUGAAGUCAAAGGAAUGAUCAUAUCAGCGCGCGAGUAUUAAAGUUCCCCUGAAGGAACCCUCCUGUUUUAUCCCUUUUAUGGCCGCUGUCUUUUUACAGAUUUGACCGCCUUUCUGGAGCGAGUAACACCAAAGUUAAUGGCGA
ensembl:lncRNA